rnacentral:rRNA from 1 species
AACGAACGCUGGCGGCAGGCUUAACACAUGCAAGUCGAGCGCCCCGCAAGGGGAGCGGCAGACGGGUGAGUAACGCGUGGGAAUCUACCUAGCUCUACGGAAUAACCCAGGGAAACUUGGACUAAUACCGUAUACGUCCGAGAGGAGAAAGAUUUAUCGGAGUUAGAUGAGCCCGCGUUGGAUUAGCUAGUUGGUGGGGUAAAGGCCUACCAAGGCGACGAUCCUUAGCUGGUCUGAGAGGAUGAUCAGCCACACUGGGACUGAGACACGGCCCAGACUCCUACGGGAGGCAGCAGUGGGGAAUAUUGGACAAUGGGCGCAAGCCUGAUCCAGCCAUGCCGCGUGAGUGAUGACGGCCUUAGGGUUGUAAAGCUCUUUCAACGGUAAAGAUAAUGACGGUAACCGUAGAAGAAGCCCCGGCUAACUUCGUGCCAGCCGCCGCGGUAA